GUGGCCUCUUUGGCAAUUCACGUGAGGGUGAUCUUAUAAGUUUUGUUUGCUUACAUAUCCAUUCAUUCUAAAAUUUCUAGUGUAGGCUUUGUUUCACAAGGUUGUUUAAGUUGGUGUAAUAAGGUUUUUAGUAAUUGCUUUAGCUUAGAAAAAAUGUAAUAAUUACUUUAGUUAUUGUAGCUUAAUGUUUUUGUUUUAAGGACAUGGAUUAAUUCAUAAGUGAUGUGAAUCCUUUAUUGUUUAUUUAAAAGGCUGUAUUACACUCUUAUGAACACUGCCAUGCAUUCAGCCAUUGUCUUUAGGGUACGUAUUAUGGAAUUAUUCAGUACUUUGAGGGUUGUGUUACUGUUUUGUUGUUAGUACAUACUCUACUCCAACUGGUGGCGGCGGCUUUAGUUACGGUAGUUCGAUUUUGCAUGUUAAGGAAAUGGAUUAUUUCAUUAGAGAUGUCAAUCCUUUCAUGUUAAUAAAGGGUCGUAUUACUCUCUUACGAACACUGCUAUGAAUUCAGCUAUUGUCUACAAUGUAUGUAUUAGGGAGUUGCUCGGUAAUUUGAUGACUAUUUUGCUGUUUUGCUGUUAUUACAUACUCUGCUGGUUGUGGUUUUCUGGAUUAUCAUGCAUAUUUUCUGUUCAUGCAUUUUCAUUUUCUUUGCUGCUGCAUAUGUGAAAAAACAAAACAACCUUGUUGUUUCACAUGGAUUUAUCCUGAAGAAUUCGCACAUUGCAUUACUUAUUAGUACUAUACAGAUCCUAUUUUCUGCAGUGUUAUUUUUGGUCACAUGCAGGGGUAUAUACCACUGAUACUUCAUGGCGUGGGACUUUUGAGAUGUCACUAGUGAAACUGUUCUCAGCCUUCUUUUUUUCCCUCUAUUAAUCACAUGCUGGUAUCAUAUAAUAGAAGAAAAGUUGUUAAGCUUGUUUAACCUGGUAGUUUGCCUGUUGGCGUUUUAGUAACAAGCAUUAGAAGUUGAACAUUUAUGGUUUUUUUUUUUUAAUUUAUAAAUUUUUUGAUAGGUAUUUAUAUCAAAAUGUCAAAACUAUACCAGAAGAGCCAAACUUGCUUAAUUGUUUAUUAAAGUCACAUAGGGGCACAACCUACUAACACAAGGUCUAUCAUGAGGAGUAAAAAGGAGUAACUACCUUGAGAGGUGAAGGAAAUCCAAGUAGAAGUAAUACUAGAACAAUUAUGACUUGAUGUGUAGACAUAAUGCAUAAAGGGGUGCAAACCAAGCAUAUCUAAAAUAUACAAUAGGAAAUACCCAACUAGAAGGAUGAAGAAAAAGAACACAAGCCAACGAAGUCUAGAAAGCUAAAGGAAUUUAAGCUAUUGUACGCUGCCAUCUAAGCAUAAAGAGAAUUGAACAUAAUGGCCUUUAAUUCUAACAUUGCCCUCUAACAAUAUUCAAAGGUUUGAGCAUUAAGUUACCCCAAAUAUACCACGUUAAACACAAAGAAACCAUCCUCCAAACAUCUAGAUUGCUAUGGCAACUAAGGGGAUUUUACAAACCACCUGUUAGUCUCUCCUUCUUGGGAGACUCAUUAUCCGGAGUUAUGUCAAAAAAGAUUGCCAAGGGUUUGUUCUGAUCACUUUCCCAUUGUACUUGAUUGUGGGGGUAUUCAUUAGGGUAGACUUUAUUUUAAGUUUGAGAAUAUGUGGCUUGAAGUUGAGGGUUUUGUAGAAAAGGUGAGAAGCUGGUGGCAUUCUUAUCAUUUUGUGGGGACUCCUAGCUUUAUUCUGGCAAGUAAGCUCAAAGCUUUGAAGGCGGAUUUGAAGAAGUGGAACAGGGAAGUAUUUGGGAAUGUAGAGCAGCAGAAAAAAUCUCGUUGGGAGGAGCUACAAGCCUUGGAGGUUGAGGGGGAAAGUGAGGAGUCUUUGUUAAGAAAGAAAGAAGUGGUGUUAGAACUUGAGAGGGUACUUUUGAUGGAAGAAAUAUCUUGGAGGUAGAAAUUGAGAGUUCUAUGGCUUAAAGAGGGGGAUAAGUGCACCAGUUUCUUUCAUAAAAUGGCUAACUCUCAUAGGCGUAACAAUGCCAUUGAGGUGAUUAAAGCUGAUAAUAAUGUGCUCUCUACACCUGAUGAGAUACAAGAUCAUGUUGUGCAGUUUUAUAGUGCUCUCCUAACUGAGACGACGGAUUGGAGACCUAAAAUUGAUGGCUUGAAUUUUGAGGUUGUGGAUUCUUUUACAGCAAGCUGGUUAGAGAGGCCGUUUGAAGAGUUUGAGGUGCAUCGGGUGGUAUUGAGAAUGCACUGUUUAGAGCUUUUCCGGUUGUUUUCAGGUUGGCUGUUAAUCAACAGGCCUCAAUCUCAGAUUUGAUGAGUUACUCUAAUGGAGAGGUGCAUUGGGAUCUUAGAUUUUUCAGACCUGUCCAGGAUUGGGAAAUUGAGGAGGUUCCUGAUUUUUUCAGAUUGUUGUAUUCAGUGGAUAUUAGAUGACAUGAGAGGGAUCAAAUGUACUGGAGAUAUACAACGUCUAAAAAGUUCUUUGUUAGAUCAUAUUAUAAGAUGUUGUCCGAUCAGCGUUACAUUUUUUUUCCUUGGAAGAGUAUUUGGAAGGCUCAUGUUCCGUCAAAGGUUGCAUUUUUUUUUAUGGACAGCAGCAAUUGGGAAUAUUCAGACAAUUGGGACUGACCUGGGUUAUGCCAAAAUCAGUGGUAGAUUUACUCUCAUGUUGGACUAGACUUCAUACUUGCUCUCAAGUGGCAGUUGCAUGGAAGAUGAUUCCUUUGUGCAUUAUGUGGUGCAUUUGGUUGGAAAGAAAUGACAGGUGUUUUAAUAAUAGGGAACGCAAUGUAGAAGAACUCUGGAAAUUUUACAUGUGUUUUUGUUUAGAUGGUUUUCAGCUAUUGUACUUAAUGGAGGGGCCAUCCAUGAGUUUUUGUCCUCGUUUUCCUAGUAUUAGAAUGUAUUUAGGUGUUUCUUUUGUAUACAUCCUGUGUACAUGAGGUUUGCCUAUUGCAUUUGAUGAAUUAAAUUUUUACUUAUAAAAAAA